AUAGCAACCAUGCAUUUAUGUGAAUAAGAGGCUGGAAUAUGACUAAGGGAAGGCGUGAAUAUAAAGAGAAGUAAUAAAACGUAACAGUAAAAAUACAUUUGUAGCCGUACAGAGCUUUUGUUUUUUUUAGAUGGGGGUCAGUGACCCACAUUUGAAAGCUGGAAAGAGUCAGAAGAAGUCAAAAGAAUUGUCUAUUCUAUAACAUACUAAAUGUUAACUUUAACAUGGAACUAGUAAUUGUAUGAAAUCAUUAAAAAGAGAUUAAAGAGUGAAUGGUGCUCUGGGGUCAGUUGUGGAGCAGGAAAUCAAUAUCAAUAACAAUUACUAGAAUGUAUUCUGGUUUUAACGCAAUUCUGUUUAGUAAUUUGGUUCUGGAAAUGAGUUAAGAUACAUAGUAAAAGGGUGCAUUAUUAUGCAAAGUGUCACCUUUGUGUUCUUAAGAAAUCAAGGUGUCGACAACAGAGAAACAUGUGAACAACUGAGCAAGAUGCUAAUGUGAAGGCAGCAGCUGUGACAGCAGGAAAGGUGGAGACAGUAGAACAAGGUGGAGGGCAAGAUGGAGACUGCAGGGCAAGAUUGAGAGAUGGAAACAAAUUCAGGACGACGACACUGUUUUUUUCCCCAGUUGAAUUAAUAAAGCACAUACACUUUCCUUAUUGAAGAACAGAAAUAGUGGGUCUAUUGACAGCUCCCCUGCACGGCGUAAUCAUAUCGUUCUCUGGAAGCAGCCAUCCCAUCAAUGCACACCGUGACAAUUUAAGAAGCGACAUGUGCUGAAAUUGGUGCCAUGGAAAUUGAUGGCAUAGAAGGGUGACCAUGUAUGCUGACGUCACAACCCAACUGAAUCAAACUCAACCUUCUGUGUGUGGAACAUGUGCUUUGCUUGAUGGAGCACGACAGUCCAGAUCAAUGCUAAUAUCUUAUCAAAAACUGAACAACCAGUUGCGUAACUACAUAGGAAGCAAACCCGGUGGCUGCAGGGGGGCCCAGGAGGUAAAGGGGCCCCAUGAGGCCCUAACUAAUAUACAAUUUCAAACAAAAACAGGUCAACCUCUAGACAUUUUGGGGGCCUGAAAAAUAAUUAGCUUUGGGGCCUCGUAAUAUCUCGUUACUCCACUGUGAACGACAUAUUUAAAAUAAAUUUGUAUUAGGGAUGCACUGAACCCUGCUUUUAUUAGGAUUCAGGUGAAUCUGGAAUGUAGGGUUAUCCAAAUUCAAACUCUUCUUCUGCACAGAAGCGCGCCCCUGAUGUGUAGAGGGGUUUUUUUUCCCAUUUAUUUGGGGUUCAGAUUUGGUUCACCAGGCUCUGGAAUCCUUAGAAAAACAACUUGGAUUCGGCUGAAUUCCAAACCGAAUCCAGGAUACAGUGCAUCCCUAUUUUAUAUUCCCAAACUAAAUUCACAGGAGCCAACAGCAGGCCUCAUCUGCCUCAUCUGCUGCAGUGUAUUGGACUAUUAUAUUGAACUUUAUCCCGUGGCAGGGAGGAUUUAACACUGUUUAAGCACCUGGUCCGAAGGGAUCUAUCACGCAAGGUCAGAGCACUCCAUUGUUGUGUAGGUUCAACUUUAAAUUAACUUGUAGUAUGAUGUAGAGGGUGUUAUUCUGAGACAAUAUUCCAUUGGUUUUCAUUUGUGGUUUUUGAGUUAUUUCACUUUUUAUUCAGGGUCCAAAUGACCCUA